rnacentral:rRNA from 1 species
CCUGACGCAGCGACUCCGCGUGUGGGAUGACGGUCUUCGGAUUGUAAACCACUGUCGGGAGGGACGAAGCUCUGACGGUACCUCCAAAGGAAGCACCGGCUAACUCUGUGCCAGCAGCCGCGGUAAUACAGAGGGUGCAAGCGUUGUCCGGAAUCACUGGGCGUAAAGGGCGCGUAGGCGGCCUGAUAAGUCGGGGGUGAAAUUCUGCGGCUUAACCGCAGGACGGCCUUCGAGACUGUCGGGCUUGAGCACGGUAGAGGCUGGUGGAAUUCCCGGUGUAGCGGUGGAAUGCGUAGAGAUCGGGAAGAACAUCGGUGGCGAAGGCGGCCAGCUGGGCCAUUGCUGACGCUGAGGCGCGACAGCGUGGGGAGCAAACAGGAUUAGAUACCCUGGUAGUCCACGCCGUAAACGAUGGGUACUAGGCGUCGGGGGGGAGCGACCUCUUCGGUGCCGUCGCUAACGCAGUAAGUACCCCGCCUGGGGAGUACGGCCCCAAGGCUGAAACUCAAAGGAAUUGACGGGGGCCCGCACAAGCGGUGGAGCAUGUUGGUUUAAUUCGAAGCAACGCGAAGAACCUUACCUGGGCUUUGACAUGCACGGGAAAGCCGGUGGAAACAUCGGUUCCUCUUUCGGAGUUCCCGUGCACAGGUGCUUGCAUUGGCUUGU